UGGACGCUAGGCGGGCCGAGUGAAGACUGACAACUGGGCCACGCCCACAGAGCUCAUCGUUACCUGGUUAGCUCAGGCUAAGGAGCUAGGCUAAAUGCUACCCGCGACUGCUAACCGGCUAGCGCUGCGGUGUUGUUGCUCCGGGAUGGUCGCGGUCGUAACAUCGAACCGAACAGAGUACAUCAGUUUGGCUGAAAUUUGUGGUGCUUCCACCUGCUGAACACAGAAUAAACUGUAGGUACCCGUCUUGGCUGCUUAACACAGCUGAUAUUACACGUGUCAAAAUUAUUGUAAUUAUUGUCUUCUACAGUAUCUGUAAAUUAUCAUGUUUCUCCUCUGUUCCUUAAUAUCUACAGAUGUGACAAUGAUUURAGCAUAAAACAUCCUUUAACAUGACUUUUUUCAUUUCAUGAAGCACUGCAACACCUGAUGUCCUCAGAAUCCACUGUGGCAGCAGCAACAUGGUGGAGAUCGGCAGCUUCAGGCUGGUCAACAUGUUAAUAAUAUUGAGUCAAUUUCUAUAUCCAUUAUGGUUGGUAAAAUUAACACUAUCACAACAAUGUUCAUCUUUUACUUUCUGAUUUGAUAAACCUUAGAUAAAAAGUGUUGUCUUUUCUUUUUUGCCAUAAGAGACCGAACACGGUCAGCACAGCUGUGUCCCUCAGGUUCGUCCGUCCCUAAUAAAAUGACAGGAAACAUAAAAGUAUGACAUUAUUGCAGAGAUACGUGUUACUUUCAAACAAAGUCUGUGUCCUUAUAUUCUGUGGAUAUUCAAAUAUGUAUCUGAAUAUGGUUUGGGAUUAAACAGUCUACUACAAUGAA